GAGGCUGCCGACUCGAGGUGAAAAUCUUGCCACCUGUUAAAAUGAAGGAGCAGAGUUGUGAAGUUAUGAAUAAUAGGAGUUCGCCUUCCACCCACUGGCCAGACGUGGGAGAGAAAGAGGACUUACUUAUCUUCUAACUGGAAGUUUGUACCUUUUGGCCACCUGCAUCCAAUUUCCGGUGCCCCCACCCUUACCUCCAGGAACCACAGAUCCCACCUCUUUUUCGUUUCCGGCUCCUUAUUCACGCCUUUGCAGCCACCCUGCCCUCCUUGUUUCCUGAACAUUCCAAGCCUGCUGCCGCCACAGGGUAUUUGCACCAGCCCCGUCCUCUCCGCUUAGACGUUGCGCAGACACCUCCUCAGGGACACCUCGGAGAGGAACUUACUGGAGAGCAUCACCCUCCCUGCACGCCUCCUCCCUUUUCGCUGAUUUAUUUGCUUCUCACAGCGUUUAUACCUGCAAACACACUGUACCACUGACCUGCUGAUGGCGUUUGUUGUCUGCCUCCCUCUGAAGGAAUCUAGGUUCUGUAAGGCAGAGAUGCUUCCUCUCCUCUUCACGGCUGUAUCCCUGAGAACAGAAUCAGACAUACAGUUGGCCCCGAGGAAUUAUUUGCUGACUUACUGAGCAUGAUUCUGUCUGAAAGACUGGCUGCACGAGGGGAACCUGGUCUCUGACUUUGAAUGAAACGGAAUUAGCAUCCGGUUGCAUAGUAGAUGGGACUGAUCUAUUCUUCCAGCUCUUUUCUCUGUGUCACAAAGGGAAAGAAUAACUCCUUUUCCCCCUGCACGCCCACUCCACAGAGAAAUGCUUUGAGACUCAAUUAAGCGGUGCCAUGGAGAACACAUUUCGAAUUUCCAGAAGAAAGCGCUGUAUUCAUUUGAGGCUUUCAUUGUGUGAAAGAGCUGUGAGUGACACAGGGCUGCAAAGCACAAAGAGCAGGACAGGGUAAAGGGAUUCCGCCGCUCACAUGUUACCUUGGCCUUUCACGGGAUCAUCGAUUUGAGACUGAAAAACGCAAAGUGGUUUAAAAAAUUUUAUCCCAGGUGACAGAUGUUUAAGAAAUACCUUCCUCUUUGUAGUCCAUUCGCAGUGAUUUAUGGCACGACACUCUCAUUCAUGAACGAGUCUCCGCUUUUACCAACUUUUGUCUAUUUUAUGGCCAUUCUCUUGCUCAUUAGAACUCCCACACCAAGGUCCGAGGGCUGGCGGGUCAGGGAGGAGCAAAAACUACAAUUUGUCCUUGUCAGGAGUUUAUUUAUCUCUCCUGUUUGUCAGGACCCAGAGGUGAGGCCAUGUGAGAAUCACAGGAUUGGAGACACACGAAAUGCAGCCAGUUCAAUGCACAAAUUGCUAGAUUAUUGCACAUGAUCAGCUCAGAGACCAGGUAGGCCAAGUGGGAAAACAGACCGGGGUAUUGAAUCACUCCGCGGAGGAGUCUGGGGAGGAGGCGGCCCGGGUCCAGCCGCCCUGGGUCCCGCAGCCCGGCUCAGGACAAGCGACAAGUCUGAGUGGGGACUCACCCUUUGCUCCAAGGGAGCCCCGGGCAGCGUCCCCAGAACAGUUUCAGCAGCACAGAGUCCAGUCCUCCUCCAAAGAGCCACCCUGCUCCGCCAUCUGGUUUUAAGAGGUCUGUCUGCGAGUUCCCGUUGUGGCUCAGGGGUUAAGGACCCGACUAGUAUCCAUAAGGAUUUGGGUCAGAUCCCUGCUUUGCUCAAUGGGUUAAGGAUCUGGCAUUGCUGUAGCUGUGGUGUAGGCCGGCAGAUGCAGCUUCAAUUCAACCCCUGGCCUGGGAACUUUCAUAUGCCGCAGGUGCAGCCC
rnacentral:lncRNA from 1 species